rnacentral:rRNA from 1 species
GACGAACGCUGGCGGCGUGCUUAACACAUGCAAGUCGAACGGAAAGGCCCUGCUUUUGUGGGGUGCUCGAGUGGCGAACGGGUGAGUAACACGUGAGUAACCUGCCCUUGACUUUGGGAUAACUUCAGGAAACUGGGGCUAAUACCGGAUAGGAGCUCCUGCUGCAUGGUGGGGGUUGGAAAGUUUCGGCGGUUGGGGAUGGACUCGCGGCUUAUCAGCUUGUUGGUGGGGUAGUGGCUUACCAAGGCUUUGACGGGUAGCCGGCCUGAGAGGGUGACCGGCCACAUUGGGACUGAGAUACGGCCCAGACUCCUACGGGAGGCAGCAGUGGGGAAUAUUGCACAAUGGGCGGUAGCCUGAUGCAGCAACGCCGCGUGCGGGAUGACGGCCUUCGGGUUGUAAACCGCUUUCGCCUGUGACGAAGCGUGAGUGACGGUAAUGGGUAAAGAAGCACCGGCUAACUACGUGCCAGCAGCCGCGGUGAUACGUAGGGUGCGAGCGUUGUCCGGAUUUAUUGGGCGUAAAGGGCUCGUAGGUGGUUGAUCGCGUCGGAAGUGUAAUCUUGGGGCUUAACCCUGAGCGUGCUUUCGAUACGGGUUGACUUGAGGAAGGUAGGGGAGAAUGGAAUUCCUGGUGGAGCGGUGGAAUGCGCAGAUAUCAGGAGGAACACCAGUGGCGAAGGCGGUUCUCUGGGCCUUUCCUGACGCUGAGGAGCGAAAGCGUGGGGAGCGAACAGGCUUAGAUACCCUGGUAGUCCACGCUGUAAACGGUGGGUACUAGGUGUGGGGUCCAUUCCACGGGUUCCGUGCCGUAGCUAACGCUUUAAGUACCCCGCCUGGGGAGUACGGCAGCAAGGCUAAAACUCAAAGGAAUUGACGGGGCCCCGCACAAGCGGCGGAGCAUGCGGAUUAAUUCGAUGCAACGCGUAGAACCUUACCUGGGUUUGACAUGGAUCGGGAGUGCUCAGAGAUGGGUGUGCCUCUUUUGGGGUCGGUUCACAGGUGGUGCAUGCCUGUCGUCAGCUCGUGUCGUGAGAUGUUGGGUUAAGUCCCGCAACGAGCGCAACCCUUGUUCACUGUUGCCAGCACGUUAUGGUGGGGACUCAGUGGAGACCGCCGGGGUCAACUCGGAGGAAGGUGGGGAUGACGUCAAGUCCUCAUGCCCCUUAUGUCCAGGGCUUCACGCAUGCUACAAUGGCUGGUACAGAGAGUGGCGAGCCUGUGAGGGUGAGCGAAUCUCGGAAAGCCGGUCUCAGUUCGGAUUGGGGUCUGCAACUCGACCUCAUGAAGUCGGAGUCGCUAGUAAUCGCAGAUCAGCAACGCUGCGGUGAAUACGUUCCCGGGGCU